GAAGAAGUGAAAUGGGCCCACCUCACUCAGCCUCUAUGAUCGUCAGCUGGAACAUCCAUCAGCAUUCUGUCUUUGCUGAAUAAUGGGAAUCACUUAAUUCUCUUUGUAAAUAAAGGUCUCCUUAAAUGAG